GACGAACGCUGGCGGCGUGCUUAACACAUGCAAGUCGAACGGUAAGGCCCCUUCGGGGGUACACGAGUGGCGAACGGGUGAGUAACACGUGGGUGAUCUGCCCUGCACUUCGGGAUAAGCCUGGGAAACUGGGUCUAAUACCGGAUAGGAGCCCUGCCUGCAUGGGCGGGGGGGGAAAGCUUUUGCGGUGUGGGAUGGGCCCGCGGCCUAUCAGCUUGUUGGUGGGGUGAUGGCCUACCAAGGCGACGACGGGUAGCCGGCCUGAGAGGGUGUCCGGCCACACUGGGACUGAGAUACGGCCCAGACUCCUACGGGAGGCAGCAGUGGGGAAUAUUGCACAAUGGGCGCAAGCCUGAUGCAGCGACGCCGCGUGAGGGAUGACGGCCUUCGGGUUGUAAACCUCUUUCACCAGGGACGAAGCGCAAGUGACGGUACCUGGAGAAGAAGCACCGGCCAACUACGUGCCAGCAGCCGCCGUAA
rnacentral:rRNA from 1 species